GUCCGGGUAGCUCAGUCGGUUAGAGCGUCGUGCUAAUAACGCGAAGGUCGAGGGUUCUUUCCCAUCUCUGGCCA
rfam:Hymenolepis nana genome assembly, scaffold: HNAJ_contig0009513